rnacentral:lncRNA from 1 species
AUUCACUCUGGCAUGCUUUAUUUUCCAGGGGAGAUAGACGAGAAGAAACUUAAUAGCAAAGGAAGAUUCCAGCCGUAAAAAUUGACAAGUUUAUUUAUGUCACAGCAUCUACUACAGCCAGUUCCCCUCCUAGAUCACUCUUUCUCCUUCUUAGUUUUUCAAGACAGGGUUUAUUUGUUUAAUAGUUCUGGCCACCCUGGAACUUGCUUUGUAGACCAGGCUGGCCUUCAACUAUAGGGAGGGACCACUAUCACCCCCCCCAACUCAUUUUUUCUUUUUUUUCGGAGCUGGGGACUGAACCCAGGGCCUUGCCAGGCAAGCGCUCUACCACUGAGCUAAAUCCCCAACCCCCCCCCCCAACUCAUAAUUAUAUCUUUUAAGACCGUGUACAGUCAGGUAGAGAUGUUGAGUUUUAGAGGUUCCCCAUCUCCAGUGCCACUACCACACACAGACCAGUCAAACCCAGGCCAACCCAAAUCCAGUCCAUAACUUAAGACAUAGGCUGGCUACCAGAGUUAAGUUCAGAGCUGCCCAAAGCCAUAUGGGGAGUUCUGUAGGACACUGGUGAGGUCAGAGGACAUACCUCAGGCCCACGGCCUAAAAUCAUAUCUGCACUCAUCCCGAUCAGCCAUCUUGGCCAAUAAGUAGGCCCCCUUCCUUCUUCCUGGCUUCUGGAUCUGGAAGAUGAAGAAAGGACGGAUAAUUUCUUGUAUUUUCCCAGCUUCUCAGAAGGUCUUCUAGAAAACUCACACACACCUCCAAAGUUCUGUCUUGCUAAAAUGCUGACCAUGUGACCCUUUGGUGAGCCCUAGAGGCUUGGCAUCUGGCCAACAGCAAAGCCAAACCCCAGUGCCAUUCCACUGUGGCUCUGCAAAAUGUCAGGCUACAAACCAUUCUUAGUGCUCACUGGCUUCUGAACACUGAGCGUAGAAAUAGCCACUUGCUCUUUGCCCCAAUGUCACAGGCAAAGCCGAGCCAGGCCUGUGGUGCUGUUCUAGGACAGCAUCUUCAAGGCAGCCACGUACAUCCCAUCUGAGCACGCUCCAGUGGGUCCAGCCCACCUCUUACCUCAACUGAGUCAUUGCUGGGCAGUUAGCACAAGCAGAGUUUAUCUGCUGCACGUAUUAGGGCGACUAAACCCUCAGAAGGAAAGCACGGUGCGUCUUUGUUACGAUCGUCAGUACGAGACGCAAUCUUCCCGGUGGCCGGCCAAGGGCUAUGUAGGGUCAUCCGCGGCGCCCCAGGCCAACAACGGAAGCAAUAACGAUAGGAACCUACACACC